rnacentral:lncRNA from 1 species
AUGGACAGCUGGACCCUCCAGGGGGACAGCUACUCCUUCCUACAUAGUGCGCCCCGCACCUUUUCCCUGUGCCACCGCGAGGGCACGCCCAACCACGUUGAAAUCUUUGACAUCAUCAACGUCCCCACGCAGCGCAGCGCCAUCUCUGAGACCACUUGCCUGUGUGACAUUUUCGGAGACGACUGCGAGUCACCCUCAGUCUCGAGCAGCCCUGCUGUUGGGGUCUUUGUUCCCACGCCGAGAGGGACGGAUGGGUCACCUGCCGCAUCGCCCCUGGUGGAUGAGCUGAACGACUCCUCGGGUUCCUAUCACACGGCGCCGGGCUCAAGUGAAGGAGAGGAGGGCUUCGAAGAUUCGAGAGAAAGACUUUGCAGUCCCCUGCUUCAGAACGCGUCUUCAGAGAGGAAACCUUCAGAGGGCGCACGACUGCCCACAGGGCAUGCAGACAGUUACGUUGACACAAGGAUUGAGCCGAAAAGCAAUUUAGCGCUACCAGAGCUUAAUACAACAAAUCCAUCACCCGGAGGCCUUGACUCUGGUGAGAGGACCCUCUCUCCUGGAUACAGCAGCCCCAACACUAGUUCAGAGGGAAGAGUGUCGUCCUUGUCUUCCUCGCUUGAAAAAAGACUUUCACCAUCAUCUCCCUGUCCUAGACAAGUUGAUUCUGAAACUGAAAGGGAAAAUACUCCUACCUUCAAGGAGAGAGAUAACACCCCCAUAGAUCAAUCUUUAACACCGAGUACAUCCUCUGAAUCUAGGAACUAUGACCACCCUUCCUCCCCUCAUUCAGUGAAAUCUUCACCUGAGUUUGUGGUAGCACAAGUCUCCCCUGAGCUGAGCAAUUACUUUUAUCAACAGGACAGUCCUUUCUCUGAACCCACAUUCAACAAUUUCUCCACAGACUGCACAGAUCCAUCCUCAGAACCAUCCCCUGAACCUUCGCCCACCUGUGAAGAGACAUCAUUACAGUCGAGAGAGAACUUUCCUGAACUGAGCGACAGGCCAGAGUCCGCCGACACACAACAAUCGUCUCCUUUUCCCGAACAAAGAGGGAGGAUCUCUCUGCCGGACCUUUUCAGCAGAGGCUCCUCACCUGAUUUGGAUGACAUCUCCUGCUCAGCACCUUCCCCUGCAGGAGGAGACUGCUCAGCUACUCCUGAGAACGCACCACAGUCGCCUGAACUCGUGAGUGUCGUUUCUUCUCCUGGGCUACGAUACACACCUUCACCUGCGGUUUCACUAGCAACAUCUGCUGAACUUAUGCAAACUAGUGUCUCACCUACAUUAAGACACAAAACUCCUUCCCCUGGUUUGCUCAGUGCUGCUUCCUCAUGCACAGCUGGGACAAGAACUCCGUCUCCUAAAAUAACACACGUUUCAACAUCUGGUGAAAUCAGGACUCAGGGUCCUUCACCUGUGACAAGUUAUAGUUUACCUCAGUCACCUGAGGUUAGGAGCAGUUGUUCUCCUAGAUAUCCUGCACCUUCACCGGAAAUCAGGGUUACAGGAUCCUCGCCAGAGGUUAGCAGGAGAGAUCCAAAUGAAGUGGUCACAAUGUCAGCGUCACCUCUUCUAGAGACUCACUUGGAUCUGUUCUCCUCCAGAAGCCCCACUUCGUCCCCUCAUAUCACUGGGAUUUCCUACACCGUUGUUCAGCCUGAGGACAGAGACACUACCCCAUUUCCUGAGCUUUCUCAUCUCUCCUCCCCUGAGCUCGUAAGGACACCUAAAGGAAGGACCCCCACCCCAAACAGAGACAUUAUAGAAUCAGAUGGUGCAUCACAUAACUCUCCACAUGCAUCAGUGUCCUCUCAGUCAGAAAUAAGUCUAAUGCAUCCCUCACCGUCACCACAAGCAAAGCCCCACACUCCUUCACCUGAGCCUACACAUAAAAACCCUUUAUCUAAAACUUAUCAAAGUCCUGCACCUGAGCACCUGAGUGAAGAUUCGUCAGCUACUGUGUCUUCUGAGCAGAGGUUUUAUCAGCAUUCACCAAUGUCUCUCUCCACAGAGCACAACCUUCAGUAUACGCAGCCUAAUUUAAGAAAUACACCUGAGAACCCCAGGGAUGUGUUUGCAGAUGAUAUAACAGAUAUACAGUACCCAGAUCAUUUGCCAAAGGACAAUGCAUCACCGUCUCUCAGUAAAUCGGAAAUCAAAAUGAGUUCACCGGUGCAGGCAAAUCCGUCACCUGCAUCUACUUCACCUUUUACCUCUGAAGUGAAGGACGACAGCCAAGAAAGGGAAGCAACACUCAGAGAAGCUCAAAAAAAGACAAGUCUGCCUUUGUUUUCUGAGAUAAAACAAGACACUGACCCUAACUUUGUUCAAAAAGACGUUUACAAAAAGUCCCCCUUUGACGUGAAGUCUACGUCCCCUGAUCUUGCAGUCUUAAAAGAUAAGAAUACAAACACCUCACCUGUCAACAGGGCCAGUUCACCUGUACAUAGACUGGAGAACAUACAGCCUUAUUCUGUAACCUCUGAAAUGAACAGCUCGUCAAAAACAACUUAUUCGUCCAAGCACCAGCGAAGACAGCUCUCAACUAAUGCCAGACAGGAAAACAUGGAGAGCUUUGCAGAGAACGUGGCCCACCAUGUAAACAGAAGACGGACUCCCUCUCCACCACUCACUAGGUUUACACCUGUUCACAUUAUCGCCCCCGAGAAGCCAUACAGGCAGUGGCAGAACAGAAGCCACGGCUCGUCUGAGGUUGUAGCAUUCUCACCAAGUGGGAAGUUAAAGAAAGAUGUGACAAAUAGGGAAAGCCCCAGUGCUUCUGGUGACAGUUAUAGCCAUGACCACUGGGUCAGGCUAGAAAGGCAAUCGGAGUUGGAGCAGGAAAUGCAGCUGGAGGACGAGAGGGAGGUCCAAAGGGAGAGGCGAUGGGAUAGGGAGGCAGACAGACAGAGUAAGAGGGAGGAGCAGCUUCGUGAAAAAGGGGACGUGUGGCAGGGAGACACCAGUUACAGAGGGGAACAGGUUGAGCUGUCAUUCAAUGCCAGGAAUAGAAAAGAGCCUGCCAGUCGCAACACAGCUCCCACAAGCAGAGAGACCCUUCAGGGACUGCCAGCAGUGCAUUCCUAUUCAGAGAGUUUGCCUGCCACCAGACAGCUACAGCAACAACAGAGGCUUCUGAGGCUUGCUUCCCAACAGGACACCAGAGUUGGUGGUCCUAGCAGGCGGCUCAAACCUUCUGCAUCCCAGAACAAGAGCAGUUCUCCGAGAAACGUGGCUUCAAGCAGACCCUGCCGCAGUUCCAGCUCCAGCAUGGGAAGCGAGCUUGAUGAGGCAGACAAUGAGGUAAAGUGGCUCACAGACGUGGCCUUCCGCAGCCUGUCAAGCCCUGAGGUAGAUUACCUUGACAUGUACAACUCCAGCCAUCGUUCAUCUACCAACAUUUCUCAGCCAUCUACUCAAGAGAGCCCAGCUGGGGUCAGUGCAUCCCUGCUGGCCUAUGCUGACUUCAGGGGGUCUGCUCCAAAGCUGGACAAUGAUGAGCUCUCUUUCCAGCCACCAACUACACACUACUCAGAGGGCCUAUAUCCAUCGCGGCGCUAUGAGAUGGGAAGUUUUGAGUGCGUAGAUGUGGCUGUUGAACGAGAGGACUUCAGAAAGGUGAGAAAGGGUGUACCGAAGAGGCAAAUCCAGCUGAAGAGAAAAAACAACACGGAAGGGAGGCAAGAUGGGAGCAGUGGAAACAGUAGUCCUGGGGUGCCAUUGACCGUGGGAAGUCCUUCUCAGGGACGUCACUCCAGGGAGAAAUUCACAAGACAACACAGUACACCAGCAGCAAUGCAAGAAUGCUACCCUUGUGUCGAAAACCCUGAACCCAUUCAACAAAAUGGACGAAAUUCAAAACUUCAAAAGUCUCUUUCACUGGACGAAACUGGCUCUAAAACCAAGAUGGCCACUUGCCUCAUCAAGAGUGUGUUAUCCAAGAAGAUGCAGAGCACUGACAAACAGACAGAUCAGCAGACAGCAGAAGAAGGAAGUCCAGAUUUGGAACAAAGCAGCAUCUCCGCAGAAAAAGACACCUCAAAACCUGACGUGUGUAUUCUAAGUUCCGGUCGUCAUUUGUCAGGAGAAGCCGGGACAAUGGGUGGAACUAAACAAGGGAAAAGCUUGGGAGUAAGAUCUAGUAGCAGGCCAAGCUCAUCCAGCAGCAGCAAAAGUGUUAACUUUUCACACACCAGCAGUGAAGAGGCUGAUUCACAGAAGACAAGCGCAAGCUCACUAAAAUCUGAAGUAAGAUCGGAAUUGAAAGUGCAAAAUCAAAAGUCCAGAGCUGAAGCGCAAUGGGCUGAUGACCGAAAACUAUGGGACGAAAGGGAGGGAGGUGACUCAGCAAACGCCGCUCCUCGGAGCACAGGGGUUCCUUCUGGCACUGAAGCCCCGCAGCAGGUCACAUACACCCGUCAGGAAUGUGAAAACACUGAGGAUCAUAAACAACUGCAACCGGAUGAAUACACGUCAAAAUCACAGGAGAUCGCAUCCAAAGCUGUGGAGAAAAAGAAAACCUCUUUCAAUGUUUGUCUCACACCAGAGCUAGAAAACAAACCUGAAGCAUCUUCAUCCAAUGUGCUCUUCACAGAAAAGGAUGAAGCGACCGUUGAUGAUAAACCAGAGGAGGAAGAAGAAGAAAACGGGAACGUCAAAGCCAAGGUCCCCAUUCACAAGGUGAGAGAUGUGAGGCGGAUCGUAAAGAAUACAUAUAAUUUGUCUUUUAAGGGAACUACUGCUGCAUCGCAAUCAGAGGUAAAUGAAAAAAAGACAGAAAGCUUUAAUGUGGAAGAAAAUAAAGAACUUAAAAAAGAAAGACAGAAAGGGGAGAAGGAACUAAGCCAGGAUAUAUGGCAGGCAGAGAGAGAGGAGAAAAAAGGAGAGGAGUUGAAAGUGGAGAAGAAGAAAGAACAAAAGGAGGUUGUAAAGCACACAACCCCACCUCCACCUGUUCAUGGCAAAAGAACACCACUCUCUCACACCCAGCCAAUACAAAUUGAAUACAAGGCUGUUUGCAAGAAAGAAUCAGCAUGUCGAAAUGACAAAAGCCCGGCCUCCCCGGAGUCUGUCACUGAGUUUAGCAGAGAAUCACAACAGCCCUCAAAUGCAACCAUUCAGAGUUACUCAACACAAGAUGCAGGAUUAGCCAAGUCAUGUCAGCGUGAUGUGAACACGGCAGGAGGAACACAAGAGUCAGUGACAGAAAUGUGUAAAGACACCAAGGACAGGUCUGUUGUGGUUAGAACAGACAGGAAACCACCCAUGCUUGGGAGCCUCCCCAGACUUCCCAGCAAGGAAAGAGAGGUGUCCACGGCAGUGGUGAUUAUAAGAGACGGAUCCAGCAAGACCAAGACAUCUUCAUAUCUCUCCCAGGAAGACAUAGCGCCCCCGUUUCAAGCAGCAGCCGUGUCAUCGUCCCCUAGACCCAGUUCUACUGGCAGUGCCCCUGGCAGCAGUGGCCACUCAGUCUCAAUGUUAUUGAAGGAGAAGGGCUACCAGGCUGAUAUUGGAGCAGUAAUGGGUGACAGUCAACAUGUUGCUGGAAGAAAAGGGGUUCUUACUAAGCAUGUAAACUCCAUGGAGAUUCCCCUCCAGUUGGCUGGGCCUGCAGAGGGAGGUCAGAUGGAGGCCCAUAGACAGAGGACAAUCUCCUCCUCAUCCAACAUGUCUGCCACCUCCGUGGUGUCUGACACAGAUGCAUUCUCAAAAAGCAGAGAAGAUGAGGGCAUUAAACCUGCAAGGAAAGAAACAUUCAAUCAGAAAGGAGCUUCCCCCCUGAGGAGUAUACACGAGCAAACACCACCUAUGGCCAAACAGAAGGAGCCUGGGGAUUUUGAAGCAGUGAAACGACUGGAUCCGACUUUUCCCCCGAGGUCCCCUGCGUUAAGAAGGUUCAGGCCACAACCAAUUGAGGUUAAGUCACUGUCCAAAGAAGCACAGAAAGAAGAGACACCCUCUCUAGGAAACAGUAGACCUCAAACCAUUGAAGUCAAAUCUAUAGCUAAGAACUCUCAAAAGCCCACUGUGCCUCCGAAACCAAUCUGCAAAUUCAAACCUUCCGAAUUAGGAGUCACUUCCAAUGAAGGCCAGAGACCAUCGAUGAUUGCAAAAGCACAAGACGAAGAGAAGUCUCAAACGAUAGUGGUGUCCUCGCCAACGAUCUAUAGGAAGAUCUCCAACGAGUCCCUGUCAACAUCAAACUACACAAGGAAACUAGCUGUGUCUACUGUUUCCAGCCUCAAACCUCCACCCAGCAAAACAACAGCAACCGCCGUCACCAGUCUCUCGAAACAGUCACCAGGACCAUCUGAUAUGGAGGCAUGCGUUGGCAGAGGGGAGCCUCAACAGGUGGCAGCCUCACCUCAAAGCUCUAGAAACGCACAAAGACCACCGCCAGCAUCAGUCACUGACCCCGGAGCCAAUAUGGAUUCAGGUCAAGCUACGGCUUCUGACGCAACAGCCAAUCAAAUCCCCCGACCUGCUGCAGCUGCAGCCAACCAGCCGAGCCAGGCAGCUGUUAUGGAGGCAGACAGUCAGCAACAGUACACCAGGACAGCACCCCCCCAGGAACGAGCGCUGCCGGCGACUUCCAACAAUACAGAACAGCCACAGGUUCCAGGAUACACCCACCAGUCAGGCUGCGGAUCUCUCUCCAGUGAUCGGUCCCAAAGGACAGAUGACCUGCAUUUCUACACCUCGGACGAUCCUCCGAGUUAUGAUGAAAGAGAAAGCUUCAGUCCCCUCAUUCUUCCAGAUCUGACGCCGCGGAGGUCAAAUCGCUAUCAGCCCUUUUCCCGGCCUCCCCCCUGCUCCUGUACGGCCUCCCGUCCCUCCCACCCUGGUGUGACACCUCCUCACCAUCACCGCAGCCCCCAUGACCCCACCCCACCGGCCCCUACGCACUCUCCAGGCCAGGCUCUACCUUACCCGGUGGCUCAGCCCCCCCUUCGUCCCCACCAGUGCAGACCUGACCACCAUCCAAGUGGCUAUCAGCGCAGCUCUCCCAAGUCAAUUGCCCUCGGUCCAAAUCAUCCACCAAACCUUUACCUGCCUCUCCACCAGCCUCCUCCCUGCCCCCCCCAUCCCUCGCUCUUGCAGACCUGCCCUGGUGAUCGCCCUCUGCAGCCACCCCAGCAUAUUGACCCUCGACGACCUCCUGUCCACAGAUCCCCCCAGCAGCAGCUACCAGUCAUGGCUGGGACCCAUUACAACGAUCCUGGCCACAGUCACUCACCAGGCCUUCCUCCUAUGGAUCCUCAGUACCUGUGUGGACCUGCUAGUCUGGGACCUUCCUAUGGUUCUGAUUAUGGAGGUGAUAGCUCCAGCUUAUACUCAGAGAGUAGUUAUGGACAGACACCUCGCAGAGUUCUUAUGGAUCCUGAGACGGGGAAGUAUUUUUAUAUUGAGAUGCCUGUACAACCACUGAGAAAAAUGUUAUUUGACCCAGAGACUGGCCAAUAUGUGGAAGUACUCAUUCCACAGCAAGCAAUGUCACAUUCAGGCCUGUAUCCUCCAGCAGCAGCCCCCUAUCCAUCCCUUCACAACCCCAGUAUGUACGCCUCUGCGCCGCAGUACAUGCCCUACGCUGCUCCUCCGCCUCCCCCGGCCCACCCCCAGCCCCAGCCACAGCCACCUCGAUACCCCGAGGCACCUGCCACUGCAACAAUGCAUGCAAGUGGAGCUGGGAUUAGUUAUAGGAAUCCCCCUGGUCAGGGGUCCAAGCCAGAGCCUCAGAACCAUCCACCACUGGACCAGAGCUACCUGGAGAGUAUGUAUUAUGUCCCUACAGGGAUGAAUGCGAGCCCUAAUCCCACCCCACCGGACUAUUACCACAAGUGUCCCCCCAACUUGCCCCCAACAGGGGGGAAAAGGUCCUGA